GGAGAGGAGGGAUGUGUUGCAGCAGAGUGGAUCGCUUACUCAAGACUUGCAGGAGUUGGUGACUGGGUGUUACCUGGGCGUUACCGGCACCACUUAUACCAAUGGCAAGACACUGCUGGGAAUCUUAGCAACCAUCAAGACUCACCACCCACAAGCACCAGCAUUAUCUCCAAUACCAAGAUACAUCCAUGUGUGAAAGGUUGUCAUCACAGGAGGAGGAAUCAUCAACAGAAGAGGUGCCGCCCACAGAACCCUGGAGGCGGAUCAACUGUGUCCCAUCUGUCCUUACUUCCUGCCCACGUCCGUCGAGGUCACCACACCUGUGGGCAUCCCGGCCAACCUCACCUGCGGCGUCAUGCAGCUCGGGGACAAGAAGGUGAGAGGGAGGAGAGGAAGGGAGGUCAGACUUAACCUCGUCCUUAAGGACUUGGGUGAGGAAGGAGAUGAGGAGGGAAAGAGGAGAUGAAUGUGAGAAGUGAGGAGAGAAAAGGAGGUCUGAGUUCACCUAUUCCUUUCUGUUCGUUGGUGAAAGAGAGGAAAAGGAGAUGAGGAUAAAGGUGGUGAGGGGAUGAGGAGAAAGGUGGUGAGGAGAUGAGGAGGUGAAGAGGAGAUGAAGGUUAAACGUGAGGAGACAAAAGGAGCUCUAAGUUCAUCUAUACGUAUUCCUGUCCUUGGGUGAAAGAGGAGAAAGCGGAGGUGAGGAGCAAGAAUAAGCAAGAAGAGAGGAGACAAAAGGAGCUCUAAGUUCAUCUAUACGUAUUCCUGUCCUUGGGUGAAAGAGGAGAAAGCGGAGGUGAGGAGCAAGAAUAAGCAUGAAGAGAGGAGACAAAAGGAGCUCUAAGUUCAUCUAUACGUAUUCCUGUCCUUGGGUGAAAGAGGAGAAAGCGGAGGUGAGGAGCAAGAAUAAGCAAGAGGAGAGGAGACAAAAGGAGCUCUGGGUUCAUCUAUUCCUUCCUCUUCCUGGUUUUCCUGUGUGAGGGUUGGAAAGAGAAGGUAAGGGGCAGGUAAAGAGGCUAGGUGGAAAUAGAAGAUACACGGUGAGCAGAGAUGAGGGGGAAGAAAGUGAUAAGAGGUAAGGGAAAAGGAGCUCAGAAUUCGUCCAUUCCUUCCUUGUUAAUGGUUUUCAUGGGCGAGGGUUACGAGAUGAGGGAAAGGUGAGGAGAUAAGGUGAGAAGAGAAGAGGUAAGAAGGUGG